CACCGAAGUAGCCAUGGCGGCAGCGGCACUCGCCGGGCCUGACACAAACCUCGUUCUCCUUGCAGGUGAAGUUCCCCUCGCACACGGCUGGACAGAUGGACAGACAGCAGGCAAGAGGAGGAGACAGCGAGGAAGUAUUCGCUUGAAACCCAGAGCAGUCACAGGACCACGUCUGGCUGCCAGACCGCCUCAUCCAUCGGGGCGGGAGCUGCCAGCGGCGCCGCGGCCAGAGUGGGCUCCUGGAGCCACAGCUGUCCCCGGCCCACAGGGCAGCACCCCUGGCCCAGCCAGGAGCACCGUGUCCCCCUGUCGUGGCCAACAGUGAGAAGUUGGAAAGGAGGCAGAAAAGAACCACAAAAAUUAUUCAAGGCCUGGAAAAAAUGCCUUGCAGCCGGAGCCCAAAAUAGCUCCAUCUCUGCAGCCUGUGGAAGCAGCCCCAAGAUGCUGCGAUGGCAGCGGUACAAACACCCCCCACAGGGACCCUAGGGCUCAAUGGGGGGCUCUGCUCCUGCAGAGCAUGCGAGGAGUUAAUGGCAAAGGGGGGCCGACCACCAAAUCACCUCCCUGAGAACUGGGCAGGCUGGAGACAAGGUCCUUCUUUGCAAGAGGCUUCAGGCUGUGCCCCCCCAAAAGCUUUGCCAGCUGUGCUGGGAUACUCAGGCAGAGGUGGAGAAGGGUCCAUGGUGUUCUUGCCCUCCCACAGCAUGGCCAAAGCCUCACUGUUGCAUCUGGGGUUGCUUUCACCAGUCCGGCCUUUAGAAAUUCAAUUUGGUGGCUUUCAGAAUGAAACCAUCCCAGGUUUGUAAGAGGAAACUCUUCCACCUGGGACACCUGCCUCCAACAGCCCAGCCUGGCCACCAAAACGGGCAUCACAGGAAAUGUGCCAAAAAGUGUCCGUUGUGAUGAGCUGAUGGUGGGGAGCUGGAAGUUACUGGGAUGUGGUGGCAGGAGGGAAAAACUGCCAUGUGCUGGAGGAGGUGAGCGGCACCACAACCAGCCCAGCUGGGAGCCAGCCCACCACCCCACAGGAUUUGAGCUUAUCUAUUCCCUGAUAGCUAAUCUCUCCUUCCCGGUGCCUGCUAAUGGCCUCCCACACCCUGCUCAGUACCCAUCUCGUUUAUCAGCAGCUUUGACAACAAAUUAACUUGGUCCUGGGGCAAGGAGAGGUAGGCAGGAUGUAACACUGGAAAACACCUGCUCCCAGUGGGGUACACGGACUGGUCCCAGCACAGCCAGCCCACAGAGGGUCAGUGCUGCUUGCAGGUCACCAACGCUCAUCAGGGUCAGGGACUAAAAGGGGUUUCAUGGCCUCAGCUCCUUGACAAAGGGCUUGCUCCAUGUAUCCCCUGACCACUGGAAAAGGAUAACUGAGAGAUGUAUUUAAAAGCUCGCUCCUGACCCACAUGGACAUGGCACUGCAAACAUCCACUCUGCAAAUACUUUCUUUCCUUCAAAGCACUAUAAAUGGUGGGGGAAAAAAAAAAAAAAAAAAUGAAAUGAAAAGCUGCCUCUGAGCCAGGGCUUGAGACCUCAGCUGAUGUGAAGGAAAAGGAGUGGGCUGUGUGCAGAGCUGAAGCUGUCACCUGCAGGGACAAGUCCUCCAUGCUAGCCUUGCUGCUGACCCACAGCCACGUCCUGCUCGUGCUGAGCAUCACUGGGAUCUUGGCUAAUGAUCCCAGGCUUUUCACAGAGGUAGACUAUUUUUCUUGUGGAUUACUAUCCUACGCUGUUCCUGGAAAUCACUUUGCCAAUGGCUACAGAGAGGCCUCUGAGGCAGGAGGGAUGACUCCUCAGUCAGACCAGCACAGCCAGCCCUGAACAAUAAGGAGCAAGCUCAUACCCGGGGAAGCAGGAAUAAGACUCUGGGGCUCAGCUGGGAGCUGCUGCAUGUGCUACCAUGUAAGACCACCCAGCUCAGCCCAGUGGAUGGAGCUGCAAAGGAGCCCUGUGCACACCCAGCAUACUCCUGGUGCUCAGAGAAGCACUGACACUGACCCCUUUCUCAGUGCUUCUCCAUUCCUGCCUUGCUGCUCCUUCCAAGCAUAACCCCAGUGCUAAUCUUCCUCUGGGUCACCCAUCACUUGGUGCCACCCAGCUGGCACAGUGUUCCUGGGACAGCUGGGUCCCAGGCACUGGCACUCCUCAGCUGAUGCCAGAUGCAGCUCCCUGACCCCAGCCUCAGGGUGCAGACAGACACACAGAUAUCCCCAGGCCAGGCAGGAAUAGAGUCAUGGGCAUAAAUAGAAACCUUUCAGGCAGAGAAAUAAAAUUGAAGACCAGAGAUUGGAAAAGAGAGUGUUAGCAUAAGAGCAGGACAGAGUCAAAGCAGUGCCCAGGCUGUCACCACUGGCACCUUCGGUUAUACCAGCGGGAAACCAAAUAUAAAAGAACUUCAAAUUUAAGGACAAGUUGAAUUUAGAACACAAACCCCAAAGAGCCCCAGAUGUGCCCUUUUCUUCUGCCCUAAAUUAUUCCUUGAAUUUCUACUUGGGAGCCAGGUCUUAAGAAGUCACACAAUCCUUCUGAACCCUCUGAAACCUAUGGUGGCAUCUCCACAGGAUGUCUGGAUGGGCUUUGCAGAGGUAAGGGUCCAGCAAGCUCCAGCAGCCUUGGGUGGAGGAGAUAGGGACCUCCUCCCAAGGCCACCUCCAGUCCCACUGCCCCUGGCGCCAGGAUCUGCAGCACCAGGGCCUUGGGGCCACUGGGGUGGGUUUGGAUGGUAACAUAUGGGAUGUCCUCCAUGUCCAUUGUACACAGCAGUGAUGGGGGUGGGUG